rnacentral:misc_RNA from 1 species
GAUGAAGAACGUAGCGAAAUGCGAUAAGUAAUGUGAAUUGCAGAAUUCAGUGAAUCAUCGAAUCUUUGAACGCACAUUGCGCCCGCCAGUAUUCUGGCGGGCAUGCCUGUUCGAGCGUCAUUUCAACCCUCAAGCCCCAGCGGCCUGGUGUUGGGGACCGGCGACCUCGCCCGAGCCCGCCCUCCGGGGCGCGUGCCCGGUGCGUCCGCCGCCCCCGAAAUGAAUUGGCGGCCUCGUCGCGGCCUCCUCUGCGUAGUAGCACAACCUCGCAAGCGGGAGCGCGACGCGGCCACUGCCGUAAAACGCCCAACUCUUCUGAAGUUGACCUCGAAUCAGGUAGGAAUACCCGCUGAACUUAAGCAUAUCAAUAAGCGGAGGA